UUACCCUGGAGAACCGAGCGUGUG
rnacentral:miRNA from 1 species